rnacentral:tRNA from 1 species
AAAGGAUUAGUUAAUUAGAAAUAACAUCAGAAUGUCAAACUGAAAUAACCAAAACCAAGGUAUCCUUUU